rnacentral:rRNA from 1 species
AUGAGUAGAUUUGACGGGAAAGCAACAUCAUGUAGAUAUGUGUGUGCCAAGGAGGGUUUUCGAGCACACGACAAGAGAGAUCAUAUCACAAAGAAUCCUCGAGCUCAAACAAGAACAAAUUGUGAAGUUCGGAUGACACUUUCAUUGGAUCGAGUGGCAGGGAAUUAUGAAGUGGUUGAUGCAAUGCUUGUACACAAUCAUGAUCUUUACUUGCCACAAACAUUCCAUUUGAUGUUAUCACAAAGGAAGAUUUCAGAAGUUCAAGCUUUUGAAAUUGCGAUAGCCGAUGAUUCUGGAAUUAGGCCAAAAGCUUCACAUGAGCUAGCUAGUCGCCGAGUUGGAGGACCAAUGAAUCUCACCUACACUCCUCGUGAUCUAAAAAACUUGCAGGGUAGGCGCCAGAGAGAGUUGGCAUAUAGACAGGCAGGAAGCAUGUUGAAGUAUUUUCAAGACAAGAUCGCCGAGAAUCCUUCUUACCAAUAUGCUUUGCAAUUGGAUUGUGAGGAGAAUAUAAGCAAUAUAUUCUGGGCUGAUGCUAAGAUGGUCAUUGAUUAUGCACACUUUGGCGAUGUUGUCACAUUUGAUACUACAUUUGGCACAAACAAGGAAUAUAGGCCUUUUGGGGUUUUUGUUGGACUGAAUCAGUUCAGGGAGACCGUUAUUUUUGGUGCUGCUCUUAUGUUUGAUGAAACAUUUGCCUCUUUCCAAUGGCCAUUUAAGGCUUUUCUAGCUGCACACAAUGGAAAACAACCUAGAGCUAUAUUUACUGACCAAGACACUGCAAUGGGAAAUGCCGUCGAGGAGGUAUUCACAGAAGCAUGGCAUGGAUUAUGUACCUUUCACAUAAUGCAAAAUGCUGUGAAGCACUUAUGCAAUAGCAAAGCUGAUGACUCACAUUCUCCAAAAGAUAAAAAUGAGGCAGAUGAAGAAGAAGAAGAAGAAGAACCACACAUUCUCUCAGAUUUUAGUGCUUGCAUGUAUAACAUUGAGGACACGACGACCUUUGAAGAAGCAUUUGACAUCAUGAGGAAUAAGGUGGACGAAAAGAAGAUGUCAUGGCUGGAUAGCAUCUAUAAGUUCAAGGAAAAAUGGGCUGAAUGUUACAUGAGAGAUGUCUUCACAUUGGGUAUGAGAAGCACACAAUUAAGUGAGAGUUUCAACAGUGACUUGAAAAGACAUUUAAAAUCAGAUUUUGAAAUCAUUCGGUUCUUGAAGCAUUUCGAAAGGGCGGUGCAAGGAAAAAGAAACAAGGAACUAGAUGCAGAAUUUGAAGCUAGGAAAAAGUUACCUAGAAUAAGCAUGAAGACACCCAUGCUAUUGCAAGCAAGCAAACUUUACACACCCACAAUAUUUGAAGCAUUUCAAGCUGAAUAUGAAAGAUCCAUGGCUGCAUGCACUAGAGCAUUGGAUGGAAAUAACACAUAUUCUGUUGCAAUUGUGAGGGCUGAUGGUGAUUUAAGUUCUGAACUAGAGCGCAUUGUUGUUGGUGAUUCUUUGGAUGGUGAUUUUGAGUGA